UACAGAGGGUGCGAGCGUUGUCCGGAAUCACUGGGCGUAAAGGGCGCGUAGGUGGCCCCUCAAGCGUGCGGUGAAAGUCAGGGGCUCAACCCCUGAUCGGCCGUGCGAACUGGGGAGCUUGAGCACUGUAGAGGCAGGCGGAAUUCCGGGUGUAGCGGUGGAAUGCGUAGAGAUCCGGAAGAACACCGGUGGCGAAGGCGGCCUGCUGGGCAGUUUUGCUGACACUGAGGCGCGACAGCGUGGGGAGCAAACAGG
rnacentral:rRNA from 1 species